AUGGCGACGAACCCAACGUUGACCCCAGCGUUGACCUUGAACCCAACGUUGAACCCAACGAUGGCGACGAACCCAACGUUGACCCCAACGUUGACCUUGAACCCAACGUUGAACCCAACGAUGGCGACGAACCCAACGUUGACCCCAACGUUGACCUUGAACCCAACGUUGAACCCAACGAUGGCGACGAACCCAACGUUGACCCCAACGUUGACCUUGAACCCAACGUUGAACCCAACGAUGACGAAGAACCCAACGCUGACCCCGCCGUCGACCCCAAUGACGCCGCCGAGCCCAACGACGACGUCGACCCCAACGACGACCCCAACGUGGACGCCAACGACGUCAUGGAGCCCAGCGUGGACGCCAAGGCCACGGCGAUGCCGGAGCGCUGCGGCUUGGGGAAAGGCGGGAAGAGCAGGAAGUGGGGGCCCGGGGGGGGUUUCUGGGGCGGCCGCGGCGGCUCCAGCGCCCCCAGGAGCAGCAGCUGGCGGCAGAUGUCCUGGGUCAGCUGCAUCUGGAGCAGCUGGCGCUGGUGCAGCUGCCGCAGCUCCUCCAGGAUCAGCCGCAGCUCCGGCGGCGCCGGCGGCGCCAUGGGCGGGGGAGGGGAGGGGGCCAGCGGGGAGGGCGGGGAGGGGGCGGCGGGGGCUGGGGGAGGGGGGAGAGAGAGGGAGGUUAGGGUGGCGAAACCUCAAAAUCGACGCUUUUCAGCCCGAAAUCGCAGUUUGUACACAAUUACCAUUCUUUUCCACCCAAAGUUACCAUAAUUCACCCCAAAACUACCACUGCUGCCCCAAAAGUGUUGUUAUUCGCCCAAAACUCGCUGUUAUUUGUCCCCAAAAUCAAAGCUUUUGCCACGAGUUGUCGUUGUUCGCCUCAAAAUCACCGCUUUUCACCCCAAAUUUGCUGUUGUUCCCCGCAGAAUCGGGUUUGCCCUCCCCAAAAUCGGCAUUUCUCACCCCAAGUUUGUCGUUACUAGCCCAAACCUGUCGUCGUUUGCGCCAAAAUUACCGCAUUUCACCCAAAAUUCCCAUUAUUCUCCAGAGCACCACCAAAAUUCCCAUCCAAAAAUCAUAA
rnacentral:lncRNA from 1 species